GGAACGCAUGAGUCGAUUAGCCAUGCGAGUCGAGAGGGUCGGUCCUCGGCGUACUGCUCAGUAAUAGGGAACACCUGCCCUAGGGAAGGGGAUAACCCCGGGAAACGGGGAUAAUACCCUAUAGAUUACAGAUGCUGGAAUGCCCUGUAAUCCAAAGUUCCGACGCCCUAGGAUGGAUCUGCGGCCGAUUAGGUUGUUGUUGGGGUAAUGGCCCAACAAGCCCGUAAUCGGUACGGGUUGUGGGAGCAAGAGCCCGGAGUUGGAUUCUGAGACACGAAUCCAGGCCCUACGGGGCGCAGCAGGCGCGAAAACUUUACAAUGCGGGCAACCGUGAUAAGGGAACCUCGAGUGCCUGUAAAUGCAGGCUGUUCAGGUGCCUAAAACACACCUGAAGAAAGGCCCGGGCAAGA
rnacentral:rRNA from 1 species